CCUCCUUUCUAAGGAUGAUUGAAAGUAAGAUUUCAAUCUAAAUAAUAUACAGGUUAAUGUUGACCGUCCUCAUUUCUCUUCUUAAAAAUAGUGUUUCUCUUCUGCAUGGGGGCCGGUAGCUCAGUUGGUUAGAGCACACCCUUGAUAAGGGUGGGGUCGAUAGUUCGAGUCUAUCUCGGCCCACCAAACUUUAUCUGGGGGAUUAGCUCAGCUGGGAGAGCGCCUGAUUUGCAUUCAGGAGGUCAGCGGUUCGAUCCCGCUAUCCUCCACCAAGAAACACUUAGUUAUUUUUUUUGUGAAUAUUUAAUAAUUUAUAUCAAUAUCUAUAUCCGAACAUUAAUUCAUUUAUUAAUGUUCAAAUAAAAAAUUUGAUUCAACACAGAAUUUUUUUCUGUGCAUAAAUCAAGCGUUUAAGGGCGUGUGGCGGAUGCCUUGGCACUGAAAGCCGAUGAAGGACGUGGUAUACUGCGAUAAGUUUCGGGGAGCUGUAUGCAGGCUUUGAUCCGAAGAUUCCGAAUGG
rnacentral:misc_RNA from 1 species